UGCAGCAUUUCAGAAUAGUCUUUAUGACCUGGCUAAUAUGGUGCCAACAUUAGCAAAAUUCUAUCAUGAAGCCAGUGAAUCUUAUGAACAAGCUUGCACACGCCAUAUCAAUGUGAUUAUAUUCUAUCAAUUUGAGCAACUUUUUCAGUUUGUUCGAAGAAUCGAGGAUUGGAUGUACACAAUCCCGCCUGAAGAGGUUAGGUUA